AUUAUCGCUGUUCUUUAUCCUAAGACAGCAGGUGCGUCUGCUUAAUGGAAUUGCGGGACGAUCGGUCCUAAGUUCCGGCCUGCCGAGGAAAGGGACGAUCACGAUACUGAUUUUUUGUAUGUGACGCCCUUCCCGCGGCUUGCGGGAAGGGCGUUUUCCAUUAUUUG
rnacentral:sRNA from 1 species